UAGAGUUUUGGAUCUGGCUCAGGACGAACGCUGGCGGCGUGCUUAACACAUGCAAGUCGAACGGAAAGGCCCUGCUUUUGUGGGGUGCUCGAGUGGCGAACGGGUGAGUAACACGUGAGUAACCUGCCCUUGACUUUGGGAUAACUUCAGGAAACUGGGGCUAAUACCGGAUAGGAGCUCCUGCUGCAUGGUGGGGGUUGGAAAGUUUCGGCGGUUGGGGAUGGACUCGCGGCUUAUCAGCUUGUUGGUGGGGUAGUGGCUUACCAAGGCUUUGACGGGUAGCCGGCCUGAGAGGGUGACCGGCCACAUUGGGACUGAGAUACGGCCCAGACUCCUACGGGAGGCAGCAGUGGGGAAUAUUGCACAAUGGGCGGAAGCCUGAUGCAGCAACGCCGCGUGCGGGAUGACGGCCUUCGGGUUGUAAACCGCUUUCGCCUGUGACGAAGCGUGAGUGACGGUAAUGGGUAAAGAAGCACCGGCUA
rnacentral:rRNA from 1 species